AGAUUUGUCAAGGAAAAAGAGAGAGGCUGAAAUUCAUAUUAAUCAGUUAUUAUUAGUAAAUUUCUCGAUACUAUAUAUUAUCUCAUUUGUUAAAGGCACUUGCCGAACUGCUCCUGAUUUGCAUACAUUCCUACCACACCGUGUAGUGGGAAAACCAAGAUCUGAGAGUCCAAGAGUCGUGGAGUUGGCACACACACGCAGAGUCGUGGGUCAUUCUCGGCUCAAUCAACGGGUUUCUGAUUGGUUUCACACGCUGCCCCUUAUCGAUGAGUCCGACGGACGGGCAGUGUGUGCGUAUCCGCCAGAUACGAGAUACAUCGACUCCGGCAUGGGCACGAACUUUAAACUCUUGCUGGCUCUCGCCGGCUCAAGUAGCGUGGGAAAGCUUGCCGCCCGGGGCGUUUCAAAUGCGAAUUGCUGUUCUGUGCCGAUCGCCAAAAACACCGCUAUCAAGUGCUGAAUUGUUUGUCCCCCGCAAAAAGAUAAAGAAAAGCAGUCAACCACCAACGCCGCAAAUCUAGGCGAUGGGAAAAGUCAACAGGCCCAAGGUUGCGUCGAUCCAAGGCCCUAAUUUAGGUCAAAGUAUUGGGAAGUUCUCAGGAGGCGUCUC
ensembl:ncRNA lncRNA:CR44547 long non-coding RNA:CR44547